GAUGAACGCNGGCGGUAUGCCUUACACAUGCAAGUUGAACGAAAAUUUUUACGAAUUUUAGUAGCGGACGGGUGAGUAACACGUGAGAAUCUACUUUUUGGAGAGGGAUAACAAUUAGAAAUGAUUGCUAAUACCUCAUAUACUUUUUUUUAGUAAAAGGUUUAUUCCGCCAAAAAAAGAGCUCGCGGCUGAUUAGCUAGUUGGUAGGGUAAAGGCCUACCAAGGCGACGAUCAGUAUCUGGUUUGAGAGGAUGAUCAGACACAUUGGAACUGAGACACGGUCCAAACUCCUACGGGAGGCAGCAGUGGGGAAUUUUCCGCAAUGGGCGAAAGCCUGACGGAGCAAUACUGCGUGAGGGAUGAAAGCCUGUGUGUUGUAAACCUCUUUUUUUAGGGAGGAAGUUCUGACGUGUACCUAAAGAAUAAGCAUCGGCUAACUCUGUGCC
rnacentral:rRNA from 1 species